CUACGGGUUGCUCCAGCAAGGAAUAUUGGGCAAUGGGCGAAAGCCUGACCCAGCGACACCGCGUGGAGGAAGAAGGCCUUCGGGUUGUAAACUCCUUUUAUCAGGGAAGAAUAAUGACGGUACCUGGUGAAUAAGUCUCGGCUAACUACGUGCCAGCAGCCGCGGUAAUACGUAGGAGGCGAGCGUUAUCCGGAUUUACUGGGCGUAAAGAGGGCGUAGGCGGCUUUUCAAGUCGGAUGUGAAAUCUCCCGGCUUAACUGGGAGGGUGCAUUCGAUACUGGGAGGCUGGAGUGCAUCAGAGGAAAGCGGAAUUCCCGGUGUAGUGGUGAAAUGCGUAGAUAUCGGGAAGAACACUAGUGGCGAAGGCGGCUUUCUGGGGUGUAACUGACGCUGAGGCCCGAAGGCGUGGGGAGCAAACAGGAUUAGAUACCCUCGUAGUC
rnacentral:rRNA from 1 species